UGAAAAUGUCAACAUCUCUGAUGCUUUUUGUACUCAGAUUAUUAAUAAUAAGAAACCAAAAUUUGUGUAUAAGAGUCUUAUUGAUCAUAUAUUUCAACCUCCCCUUGAAAAUUUUCAGAAAAGGGAGCAGCUGAUAGACUCAGAAAUUGAAAAUUGGCAAAAAUAUUUUAUGCUACUAAGAAAGUCUUGCAAAGACACCUACUUAAAAAGUUUUCAAUAUAAAAUACUGCACCAAAUAAUUCCUAUAAACUCUUUUUUGUACAAGAUAAAAAAGAAAGAUUCUAGUUCAUGUACUUUUUGUAAACUAGAUGACGAAACUAUUGUACGUUUUUUCUAUGAUUGUCCAAUAACAU
rnacentral:lncRNA from 1 species